rnacentral:rRNA from 1 species
CUACGGGCCGCUGCAGUGGGGAAUAUUGCACAAUGGGCGCAAGCCUGAUGCAGCCAUGCCGCGUGUAUGAAGAAGGUCUUCGGGUUGUAAAGUACUUUCAGCGGGGAGGAAGGGAGUAAAGUUAAUACCUUUGCUCAUUGACGUUACCCGCAGAAGAAGCACUGGCUAACUCCGUGCCAGCAGCCGCGGUAAUACGGGGGGUGCAAGCGUUAAUCGGAAUUACUGGGCGUAAAGCGCACGCAGGCGGUUUGUUAAGUCAGAUGUGAAAUCCCCGGGCUCAACCUGGGAACUGCAUCUGAUACUGGCAAGCUUGAGUCUCGUAGAGGGGGGUAGAAUUCCAGGUGUAGCGGUGAAAUGCGUAGAGAUCUGGAGGAAUACCGGUGGCGAAGGCGGCCCCCUGGACGAAGACUGACGCUCAGGUGCGAAAGCGUGGGGAGCAAACAGGAUUAGAUACCCCCGUAGUC